UUUGAACCUCUGGACUAACUGACAUU
rnacentral:piRNA from 1 species